CCUUUGUAUGGACAUAUAACACACACACACCACACACACACCACACACCAAAACCUUUCUGAUUUCUUUCAGGAAGUCCUGGUAUCCUGCAAAAAAGGCACCUGAGCAUCAUGCAAAUCAGCCCUUUGGUGACAAAUUUUGGGCCUCAACUGAAUGGAGUCACUUUCUGUGUAGAAGCCAAGAAAGCCUAUGGGGGAAUCUGGCUGCAAGGUGACAAUUGAUGGACCGACGGACAGGCAGGGAUAAGAAAAAGAAGGUACAUUUAGUAACAGAUAUGAUCUAUUCUCUUCUUCAGUUUGUCCGAAUAAUACUGGUUGGUCUAUUUUUAUAGGGUGAUCUUGGGGGCACCUUUGGUCUGUCAUCUGCAACCAUAAAGACACGUCGGGUGCAGGAUGGGAUUUUAAUUCACUUGAUGAACAGUGCAAAAAGCCCUAUGUCUUCAGCCACGUUAAGUCCUUUCAUUUCCUGGCUCCAGAGAGGUCACACAGGCCAAGCCACGCCCCCUGGUCCAAUCAAGAACCUGGACUAUUUUCAGUUUCUAAUUCCGUGACAGUCUUUACCAAUAGAAAAGUCUCCAAAAAUUUACAGCUAUCAGUUUGAAUCUACUCCACACUUCAUCUCUCUGUCAGAGCCUCAGGCUUUAGGGGAUCAUAUUUCUCUGCAAUAUACGAUGCCAUGGCAGGCUCUGAUCUCCAGCUGUGGCAAUCAGAUCUGCAGUGGCUCCAUGAUUAAUAGCUACUGGGUUCUCACCGCUGCCCACUGUGUCAGGCACAUGAAUCCCAAAGACACUGUUGUGAUACUGGGCUUUCGGAAUCCUGGGACAACUCUGAAAAUUGUUAAGGUGACUUCUAUUUUACUGAAUGAAGAAUUCCGGUUAUCAAAUCAGGGUGUGAGAAAUGACCUAGCUCUUGUGAGAAUUCAAGAAGGCCAGGGUUCUGUUCCCAUAGUGGCGCCUUUGGGCAAUAUUAGGAAUCUAAACACCUCAGAAUGCUGGCUGUCUGGACCUCAGAUUGUCAACCCAGGGGAUAUACUUGAAAACCCAGAAGUUCUACAGAUACAAUUGAUGGGAGCUUCCAACUGUGCCUAUCUCUACCCAGACAUAGGGGGUUCUACUGUUUGCUAUGCUUCACAGGCCAGGGGACCUGAAAUAAAUAUGGAGUCAGUGAGUCCUGGAAGCACUGUUAUGUGCAGGCCGAUAUCUGGCAAUGGCAAAUGGAUACAAAUAGGUCUCACCAGUCUCAAACAUUUAGCUACUAUAGUGAGCCCACACUUUUCCUGGAUCUUGUCAUCCACAGCAAAGGCAGGUUAUCCCUUAAACCCGGAUUUCAAUCCUUGGGUAGAAAACCCGAAAUCCUCUAGUCUUGUUAGACGUCCAACCACACCGCUAUUUUACUUUGGAAUGACUCUUGCAGUGAUGAGGAUGUUUAUUUUGUAGUUAAUUAAAUACAUUAUGCAAGUCUGUUGAACUGUAAAUAGGAAAUCAGGAAAAAAAAUCAAUGAAAUACUGUUAUUCUCUGUAGCUUCUCCUUACAUAUUGUUUUAAUAAACAGGAUUUUCCUCAACAUUGGCUACUUUAUAUUUCUACUUGAGUUAUGUACACUCUUUGGAAUCUCAGGGUUGUUUUGAUUUGCAUUUCCCUGAUGACUAAGGAUGUUAAGCAUUUCUUUAGGUGAUUCUCAGCCAUUCAGUAUUCCUCAGCUGAGAAUGUUUUGUUUAGGUCUGUACCCCAAUUUUUAAUAGGGUUA
rnacentral:lncRNA from 14 species